rnacentral:rRNA from 1 species
GAUGAACGCUGGCGGCGUGCCUAAUACAUGCAAGUCGAGCGAACAGACGAGGAGCUUGCUCCUCUGACGUUAGCGGCGGACGGGUGAGUAACACGUGGAUAACCUACCUAUAAGACUGGGAUAACUUCGGGAAACCGGAGCUAAUACCGGAUAACAUGUUGAACCGCAUGGUUCAACAGUGAAAGACGGUCUUGCUGUCACUUAUAGAUGGAUCCGCGCCGCAUUAGCUAGUUGGUAAGGUAACGGCUUACCAAGGCAACGAUGCGUAGCCGACCUGAGAGGGUGAUCGGCCACACUGGAACUGAGACACGGUCCAGACUCCUACGGGAGGCAGCAGUAGGGAAUAUUCCGCAAUGGGCGAAAGCCUGAAGGAGCAACGCCGCGUGAGUGAAGAAGGUCUUCGGAUCGUAAAACUCUGUUAUUAGGGAAGAAAAAAUGUGUAAGUAACUAUGCACGUCUUGACGGUACCUAAUCAGAAAGCCACGGCUAACUACGUG